UACGGAGGGUGCAAACGUUGCUCGGAAUCAUUGGGCGUAAAGCGCACGUAGGUGGUCUGUUAAGUCUGAUGUGAAAGCCCUGGGCUCAACCCAGGAAGUGCAUCGGAAACUGGCAGGCUUGAGUAUGGAAGAGGGUCGCGGAAUUCCCGGUGUAGAGGUGAAAUUCGUAGAUAUCGGGAGGAACACCAGUGGCGAAGGCGGCGACCUGGGCCAAUACUGGACACUGAGGUGCGAAAGGCGUGGGGAGCAAACAGG
rnacentral:rRNA from 1 species